rnacentral:lncRNA from 1 species
UGAUUGCCCGCCAAUCACGGUGCCCUCAGCUAAUGAAAGAUACCGUUAUUUUGGAAGUACAACAGCAAGUUGGCAUCACUAUCCCCUGGCUUGUUCUGUCUGACGCCAACUAGUGGUUACAGGGUGCUCUUUGAGCAGAUAUCCAUUACCGAAACAGGUUGAGAUUGCCUUAGAGGAAGAUUAAGGGCAAAGAGUGUCUUGCUGUACUAUAGUACUGUAGUAUAAUUUAGUAAAGGGUGUGUUUGAGAUUGAAUGACAGACAUCACUAACAAUUUUCUUCUUGAAAUGUUCAUAAAAACAGCGCAGUGAUCUCGAGAGGUUGUGCUUGUUAUUUGUGAAGUAGAGAGAUUGCAGGACCAUCUUGUGAUAUGAGCAAAGGUAGUGCUUGCUUAUGACUGCAGAUAUUAGGAUGCCUUUGCCCUGACCAUUCUUUUGAUGGCUUCAACCUUUUCGAAUUUCGAUGCCAAGCUCAAGAACAAGGAGCAUGUGGGUUAGGGCUUAGAAAAUAGAAGCGGACGACGACUAUCUCUGGCAGAUCUCCACCCAUGUUAGUACACCGUGCUGAAGAAAUCUGGUUGUCAAACAAGGUGCUUAGCAUAGUCACUGGCUUUUUAUGCAAUGCAACCCAAUAUCAUAGGCAUUUUGUGGACAUAAGUGUGAUAGCAUGAGUUUUAUCAAAGCCUUCUUUGUAAGAAAGAAAAACAUGUGAUGUAAGCAUUUCACCUUGUUUGACAACCAGAUUGCCUUGACUCCCACCCUCAGCUGUUUCUUCAUCACUACUGUGAUGUAACAUGGGUGGAGAUUUCACAGAGAUACUACUUCUAUUUUCUAAGCUCUGAACCAUGGGCGGCUCCUUGUUCUUGGGUAUAGCAUCCAAAGGUAAAGUUAUCAAAAGAAUGGCCAGGCCAUCCAAACAUCUGUACUCAGAAGUAAGUAGCAUCUUUGCUCACAGGAUGAUUCUUCACUUCAGAACAGUCUCUACUUUCUACCGGUAGGUAGAAGCUUUGAUAACUCAAGUAUGCAUGAAUAUCAACAUUACUGCAUUAUAUAACAUGUAAGUUCGGAGUCAUAUAUACAUGAUGUAGAUGUAGAUUUAAUUAUCCUAGUUCAUCCCAUUGGAAAUUAAAUUAUACCCACAAAAUUUUCAAAGGCUGCAUUGUACAACAUGACAUGAAAUUCACAUGAAAUAUGUCCAACACAUUUUUCUUCUAUAAACGAUUUGAAGCAAAUGCUAGUAGUGUCCCGCACAUCAAAUAUAUCCUUUACCUAGUUAUACUAUAGUACAGCCUUACUGAUGUUAUGUGGAAGAACACUGUCAAGCUAUAAUCGCAGGAGGCAGUAAAAUACCAACCAGUUCUUUUACAUGUAAGCAAAAUAAGUUAAAUAACACUUUUCAUCAUUUUGCACCAACAUUUGUUCAUAAGAGAAGACAUAUUAUGCCAUGCAUUCCAGGGAUUGGCCAUGGGUCACUACAGUCUACAGGCAGGCAUUGUGCAAGCAGUCGGCUACUUGCAUCUUGGACCUGCAAACCACCCGUUUCUGAUCCCAUCCCAGUAGAAAGCGACGACGAAGCAGACUGCAAAUGAAGUUAUUGCAACCCAUAUAGCUGACUCAUUGUCUUCAAUGGCUGCCAUCAUCUCUGAAUCCUCGUCGAUAUCGGCAAGAUCGAGAUCUCCCAUAGUAAGAUCAGGAUUUCCCAUCGAAUGGACCGCCACAGACGAUGGAAACUUCGGGAGGGGUCCCGAGAGAUGAUUAUAGGAAAUCACCAAACGUGUCAAGCUCAACAAACCUUUGAGCGACGACGAACAAUUCGUUGUGGGAAAGAUCAAGGACCUUGAGGUAAAGCAACGAUCCGAUGUCCGAAGGGAUGGAGCCACCGAGAUGGUUGUGACUUAGAUUGAGGACCGUGCUCAAGCUGAUCGGCAUUGUGGGGAUGACACCACUGAGCGAAUUGUCCCCGAGAUCAAGCUCGAUGAGAAACUGCGCUGAGCUGACCGAAGCCGGAAUGGCGCCGGUGAUCUUGUUCCCCUGCAAGUACAUGUUUGAAAGCCGCGGUAGCUGGAAAAUCUCAUGUGGUAUCUCUCCGUCAAAUGAGUUCUGGCUAAGGUCCAAUUCAUUCAGGUUCACCAGACCGGCAAGUGCACUUGGUAUAUGGCCGUCAAAAUUGUUCAUUUGGAGCUUAAGAACGGCCAGGCUACCGAGUUUGCCGAUCUCGGCGGGCACCGCACCGCUCAGCUCAUUGCUUGCAAGAUUCAAGAGAAGCAGCUUACUGCAUUUGCCCAGUUGCCAGGGUAAAUAUAUGGAGCCACUGAACUUGUUGUGGCCAGCCGCGAAACGAGACAAUGUUGUCACGCUCGACAAGCUUCCGGGUAUCGCGCCGCGGAGAUCGUUGCCGGCGAGGAGCAGGGUGUGGAGGUUGGGGAGCUUGAGGAACUCAUCGGGCACAUCACCAGUGAGGUUGUUGUCGCUCAGGUCCAGCAGAGUGAGAUUUCCAUGCCGGAACAAGCCCGUCGGUAUCUUCCCACUGAAAUUGUUGCUGGAUAACACCAGUUCCUCCAGAGAGCCGGCCAUGUCUGUGGGGAGGUCACCAUGGAGCCCGUUGUAGCUGAGGUUCAAGAUUUUCAACCUGGGGCAAGGAACUCAGCUGCUUGCUCACAUUUCCGGUGAGAUGACUGAAGGAGAGAUCGAGGAGCUCCAGCCUGCGGAAGCCGGCGAAGUCGGCGAGCGGGCCGGCCAGCUGGGCGUAGCUGAGGUUGAGCGCCCGCAGCCCGGCGCCCAGGGAGCACGAGCGGCAGGUCGGCGAACCUGUUCCUCGAGAGGUCGAGAGACUCGAGGGUGCCGAGGGAGCACAGGGCGGCGAGCACGGAGGAGUCGGAGAGGCCGAAGCCGGACAUGGAGAGACGGCGCACAGCCGCCGCCGCCGGUGAGCCGGAGCAGGUGACCCCGCUCCACAGGCACGGGUCCGGAUCGGUCGUGUUCCAGCUGGCCCACGGGGCCGUGGCGGACACCGUGGCUGAGAGCUCCCUCAUGGUGCUUUCUUGCGCUUUGCUCAGCCGCGGCGGUUGCGCUUGCGCGCCGGCGGCCAUGGACAGAUGAAGCAGCAGCAGCGCCUGCAAUAAGCCAUGGUGAGAAGCGCAUGAGCCGGAUGAUUUGCUGCUCUUUUCCAUGGCUGCUUCUUUUCUCCGUAAAGGAUCCAUCACCAUACGUGCAAGAGGGUGAUGGGGUGAUGGGUAGAACCGUAGAAGCAGCGAUGGUACUGUACACGUUCUAGUCGUCGACGAGUGGGCCUCGCGAACCAACCUAUGGUUGGGAUGGUUAGGUGCACAUCCCACCAGGGUUCAAGCCUGGUGCUUGCAUUUAUCCAGGAUUUAUUUCAGUAUUUCCGACGAUACACUUUUAAUGGAAGGAGACGUUCCCGUCGACUACGAGGCGCUUGUGAUGACUUCGUAAAAUCUCAAAAUAAUAUGCUGGCUCAGACUUUCAGAGGUACUUAUAGGGAUAGGAUGUACGUGUGUGCAUUCAUAGGGGUAAGUGUAUGUGCGUUUGUAUGAGCGCUUGCGUUUGACUGUGUUAAGAAAAAAAGGCAAAUGGGCCUCGAACAGUGGAGGAGGUAGGAGAGAGUUGUCUACGCGUUUACACAUCAUAUUAUCAUGCAUGGUUGACCAAGAAAUAGAUUAGAUCCAGAUCCAACCAUCCACGGCCUAUUUGACUUGCAAGAUUAGGAAAACACGGAAAUAAGAUAAAAACGCAGGUGAUUCUCAAAAAAUAAAAAACCGCAGGGGUUUGCAUAACUGCAUUGCAUGUCCACUUGAAUCUGAAACAUUUUGUUUGCACUGAAUAUAAUUUUUUUUUGAAUUCACCAAGAUCACGGGCGCCAUUCCAACUUCAAUCAGCUCGUCGCAGUUUCUCUUCGAAAUUGAUUUUGGGAAUAAUUCGCUCGGUGGAGCAAUCACCACAUUGCCGGCCAACUUGAGGGCGGUACUCAGAGCAUGUUCAGUUUCUCUCCGCUCCCGUGACUCAGCUCCCGAAGCGGAGCAGGCUACUGCAGUUUUUUAUGAAGCUGCUCAAACCAAGCUCUGCAGCUCCGCGGAGUGGAGCGGAGCAGAGAGAUUCCAAACAGGGCCUCAAUCUAAGCCACAACCAUCUCAGUGGCUCCAUCCCUUCGAACAUCGGCUCUCUACUUUACUCAAGAUGUCCUUGAUCUUUCCCACAAUGACUUGUUCGACCGCGCCCUCGCUCGAAGGUCUGCACAGCUUGACAAAGUUGGUGCUUCCUACAAUCAUCUUUGGGUACACCUCGAAGUUUCCAUGGUUCAUGGUGGUCCAUUCGACGGGAAAAUCCUGAUCUUACUACGUGAGAUCUUGAUCUUAAAAUAUUGACGAGGGUUCAGAGAUGAUGACAGUCAUUCAAGAUAACGAGUCGGCUAUAUAGGGGUCGCAAUAACUUCAUUUGUAGUCCGCUUCGCCGUCGCUUUCAACUGGGAUGGGAUCAGAAAAUGGGUGUUUUGCAAGUCCAGGGAGCAUAGACCUGACUAUACUUGGGUAAUACCCAAUGCCAAUCCCUGUAAUACAUGGCAUAAUAUAUCUUUUGUUAGGAUAUAGCAAUGUUAAUGCUUACAUGGCAUAAUAUAUCUUUUGUUAAUAUAUAGCAAUGUUGGUGCAAAAUAAAGGUUAUUUUGUUCAUGACGAAAUACCAACCAUCUAUUUUACUGGAGCUUAACAAUGUUCUUCUACUACUCCAGGCAAAUGUUUAUAGAAGAUUAUGCAGCGAUCUUGUGAGGCUGUGCUUGUAAACAACUUUUAUUCACAUGGUAGAGAGAUUCCUCUCAAGUGAAGAAUCAUCUUGUGAGCGCCGAUGGUACUGCUUGCUUCUGACCAUUCUCUUUAGCAGCUUCACCUUUGGAUGCAAAGUCCAAGAACAUAGCAUGUGGUUCAGGGCUUAGAUAAUAACUAGCAAAAGACCAGUGCGUUGCUACGGCUCUAGAAUAAACCUAUACAUGGUCAAAAUACAUGACAACAACAUGUCUUCUUUUAAUUUUGUUUCAAACCAUUAGAACUAUGUUAAAUUUUACUUAAAUUUAGUUCCCUUAUUCCACAAUAAAGAAUUCCGGUUGAAAAGGAGAUGACGUCUGUCAUUUACUUUCCCAAAAAAAAUAGAGUCGAUAAACCCGUGCGUUGCAACGGGAGAGAGAUUUUGUGUGUUUAUAUAAACAUUCAUCAAUGUAACACGCCAGAAUCCAUCAGGUGCCACCCAAAGACGACAUAGAGAUGAAUGCCAAGGUCAAAAUGUAUAUCAACAAAAACUUCACAAUUAAUGAGUUUGCCUUUCUUUUAAUUUUUUGGAUUAUCAUGUAACUGACAACCUUAGGAGGGUCUUCCUUUUUUGAUUGUUUGUGUUUUGGCAUCGAUGUUUUUUAUUAUGCACUUGUAUGAACCAGGAUCAAUAACACUUAGAGAGAAUUUAUUUUGACGUGCAAGUAUAUAUGUUUUCACCGUGCGUGUUCUAAUCCGUGUAUAUAUGCUAGUAUAACAUUGUCUAAUCCUUAUUCAUCUACGUGUGAUGUGUGUUAUUUUUUUUAGUUUUGUCAUUAUGAGUUUGUGAGGGAGAUAAAUAAAGUAAAAUCAAACCCCGGCCAUGGCACACCUCCCACUCCCUCCCGCUCCACCGGCCAUGGCGGGCUCAUCCCCCAAGUUUGGCCUGCUCGAGAGGCCGCCAUCGCCUAGCACCGAUGGUCACUUCUCGUUCCUUUUUUCCUCUCAAGAUAGGCUCUGUUUCUCCUCCCGCUCGAAGCCGCCGUCGCUCCAGCUCCAUAUGCUGCAGGUGUCUUUUUUCUGCUUUGGCUUGUUUGAUUGCAAUUCGAGAACGUAUUUAAGUUGCUAGGAUAUGAUCUAGAAGAGCAGGGUGGGACUAUUAAUCACAAAAGUAGUAUCUAAGUUUAGCACAUGGAGCAACUUUUUUAGUAGCGUCCCGUAACAGAAAUAUAGAUUCUGGCCCACCUAAGCUCCAGACCGCACGUGUUCGAAUCCACGCAUCUAGUAGCAAAGGCCCAUCUGGCUGUCAAUCGAGGCGAGGCUUGCUAGCGAUCGGCCCAUCUGGUUGUCAAUAGUGCGUGGCGAGACUUGCUAGCGAUCGAUCGUUGCCUCCCGAAAGCCUUCAGGGAUAUACACAUCAAUUAUAGUACCACCUAUAAAUCGUAAAAGCGUAUUACGAACAGGCGGAAGCGUAUUGUGACGGUGAAUCCGGAGAUCCAAUCCGUGCUUUAUUAUUAGGGAGAGAAGGGAGAGAUAGUAGUGGAGUAAACCUGGAAAAGCUGCACCCAUGUUACAUAGCAGUGAUGAAGAAAGGCCAGGGUGGGUUGCAACCUUCACUCAACCUAGCCAAACAAGGCGAAAUACUUAAUAUUCUCUGUGUAAAACAAAUAUAAGUAAUGUUCUAAACACUUCUAUGUUUCUUUACGGAGGAAGUACUUCGUAAUAUAUAGUACCCCUCUGUACCAUAAUAUAGGACUUUUUUUCUACAAACUAACAGAACUUGGAGUGGUACAUUGAGUUGUAGUGUUCUAAACACUCUUAUAUUAUCACACGGUUGGGAGUAGUUCAUUGAAUUGUAAGAAAAGAACUGCAAGCACAUCAUCGUUAGACUAUUUAUUACUCCCUCCAUCCGGAAAUACUUGUCAUUAAUAUGUUUUGAUGACAAGUAUUUCCGGACGGAGGAAGUAGUGUUUUCAAUUGUUUCGAAAGAGAAGUUGGAAGCUUCGAGCUGCGCUUGGUCAACCAGAAAUCGUUCAGUGAAUCUAAUUGUUUUUUCUACAGCCAAUAAACAACUGAAGUGCUGUCUGCGACAGUAUACUACCGUACGUGAAGAACAACAUCUGGAAAAAAAAUCCCUUGCCGUAUCGUCCAGUGUACGGCACAUUUAUAGAUAACACGCAUAAGGAAAAAAAGAACUUUUAUUAUUAAAACCUUGUCAUUUCUACAUAGUCAAAACGAUCAAAUAACGGCAAGUUCUCUCAUGCUGAGAAGGAUUCUAAAUAUGUGACCAAUUCAUGAUAUCAAAUGCCAAAUAUAUUAGCAACACUACGUGAAGGAUACAAGAAGCUACUUGGACGAUUGACCAUAUCAAAGGAGCCAAUUUGCAUUGGAAGAGCACGUUCUUAUGGUCUCAUCAUGGUGACAAAAAAUACAUUGGGCACUUUCAUUGCGUGUCUUUGGUAAGAACGACUCCUCGACGAAGAUACCACGCAAAGAUUUCAUUCUUGAGUGAGUGGUAUCUUCACUUGGAUGGCUGAUCAUGUAGAACAAACGUUUUCCAACCAUUUCUCUCCUUUUUUCCAAUUUUGUCUUCCAAGGCAGCGGUUACACUCAAGGUUCCACCAAAGUAACCCCUCCAUCCGGUGAAAAGUGUAGGUUUGGCUUUAAAAUUUGCCCACAAAAGAGUGUACUUCCAUCUUCUCAAUGCACUUUAAAGUAGGAAAAAAAAUGCUUGUCUCUCAUCACACGGUAAUCAAGGCUAACAGCAGUCUACGCAUGGUCUCCUUAGUUUCUGCAUGCACUUAGCUCAUUGGGGGUUGGGUACUUAAAGAGGAGAGAGAUGGUGACUUGCACCUUUCCAAUGCAUUUUUUACUUCACUUUAUAAUUUGUCUUAAAAUUUCUGUGCGUACACUUUUGACCGUACGGAGGGGGUAUGGACGUAUGGUCUUCGCAGAAGAAAAAGCAUUAAAAAAAAUCUGCUAUGAUACCCGCAAAAAAAAUGCCUCUACGGUCUACCCGCGUGCUACAGUGGCGGACCCCGCCUGCCAGUGAGGCCGGAGGAGCACGGGCCCCACGUGGUUGGUGCACCCUGCUUUACGAGUAGGAAUUAACGUAAAAUUGACCCGCAGCGCUGCCUGGCAUCGCGUCCUCUUCCUCCCCCGAAGAAAGGGAAGCAACCAGGCAAGAACAGGGGAGGGAGGCUCAGAUCUCUUCCCUCCAAUCCAUCCAUCAAUCCAUCCACCCCCAGCGAUCCAUCUGCCUCGCCGGGAUCCUCGUCGACCCCUGCUCCGGCGGAGCAUACGGGCCUUCUCGGCCCCGCCCGACCAAAUCGCGCCAAGAACCGAGAUUUCCGUGAGAUUUCCGCGGCGGCGGCGGGCGUCAUUCGCCAAUGCCGGCCGGGUUCCCGUGAGGUCUCUCCGGCUCGGACGGCGGGGGUCGGGGUCUUCGCCCCCUUGUGCGGAAUCCCGCCUUCUUGGAGGAGGGGAUUGGGCGGAAAUCUCCAUUUUUUCCCCCGUUUCCCCCCUAAUCUCGGCGUCGGCGGAGGAAGGAUUUCUUUGCCGCCGCCUUCCAGUCCGUCGAUCCGCCUCGGGCGGUCGCGCUGGGGACCAUGGUGAACUCCAACUACUCGGCGCUCCCGCUCACCUCCACCGCCAUCGAGCUGCAGUCAAGCCAGCCGCCGCCGCAUCCCAAAUCUGGCGCCUCCACCAACGGCCACGCCAAGCUCACCAAGCAGGACUCGUUCCUCGGCGAGGUCGAUGACGACGACGCCGCCACCAACGCCGGCGAGCACGACUCACUGCCGCUCAUCGGCGACGACGGCCCCUCCGGCCCGCCGGAGGGCUCGGGGGUCUACGGCGCGGUGUUCAACCUGGCGACCUCCAUCAUCGGGGCGGGCAUCAUGGCGCUACCGGCGACCAUGAAGGUGCUCGGCGUGGCCGUGGGGCUCGUCUCCAUCCUCGUCAUGGGGCUCCUCUCCGAGGUCACCAUCGAGCUGCUCGUCCGGUUCGCGGUGCGCUGCCGCGCGCUCUCCUACGGCGAGCUCGUGCACCGCGCGCUCGGCCGCCCCGCCAGCGUCGUCGCGCAGCUCUGCAUCGUCGUCAACAACGCCGGCAUCCUCGUGGUGUACCUCAUCAUCAUCGGGGACGUCAUGUCCGGGUCGCUCAAGCACAUGGGCGUCAUGGACCAGCUCGUCGGCCACGGCGAGUGGGACAACCGCAGGCUGCUCAUCCUGUUCGUCCUCGUGGUGUUCCUCGCGCCGCUGUGCGCGCUGGAGAAGAUCGACUCGCUGAGCCUGUCGUCCGCCGCGUCCGUCGGGCUCGCCGUUGUUUUUGUGGCCGUCUCGUGCAUGAUCGCCGCGGUGAAGCUCGUCGAGGGCAAGCUCGCCGCGCCGAGGAUGGGGCCGGAUUUCAGCUCGAAGGCGGCGAUCCUCGACCUUCUCGUGGUGAUACCCAUCAUGACCAACGCCUACAUCUGCCAUUUCAACGUGCAGCCCAUCUACAACGAGCUCAAGGAGAAGACGCCUCAGAACAUGUACAACGUCGGCCGGAUCUCCACCGUGCUCUGCGUCGUCGUGUACGCGCUGACCGCCAUCUCGGGGUACCUCCUGUUCGGCGACGACACCGAGUCCGACGUGCUCACCAACUUCGACAAGGACCUCGGGAUCAAGUUCAGCACGGCGCUCAACUACAUUGUGAGGAUCGGGUACAUCGUCCACCUGGUCCUCGUCUUCCCGGUGGUCCACUUCUCGCUGAGGCAGACGGUGGACUCGCUGGUGUUCGGGGAGCUCGCGCCCCACAGCAGGAAGAGGAUGCUCUCCCUGACGGUGGUGCUGCUGGCCCUCAUCUACCUCGGCUCCACCAUGAUACCCAACAUCUGGAUGGCCUUCAAGUUCACCGGCGCGACCACGGGGCUGGCAUUAGGUUUCAUGUUCCCCGCCCUUGUCGCAUUGAGGCUGGACAAGGAGGGGGAGUGCCUGGGCCGCGGAGAGAGGCUCCUGUCGGUCGGAAUGCUGGGGCUGGCCAUCGUCGUCAGCGUCGUCGGGGUCGUCGGAAACGUGUACAGCCUGAGGAGCAAGUCUGAGUGAGUGAUGGAUGGAUCAUCAAGGUGAGCUAUAUUUGUAGGGCUUGUUAUACAGAGACUGUAUUACCACUGCCAGAAUACACUAGUUAGCAGGUACACCAGUUCCAGCUGAGCUGCUGAGCAAAGCUCAUCAUACUACUAUACAUUUUCUUCAUCUACAGGGUUGUUUCAUGGGUGAUGGGCUGACAUGUUGUUGGUGGGCAUUCUUGUACUUUUUUUUGGACCAGAUUCUUUGAUGUAUUUUUUGAUCUUCUGCUUGUCCUUAGAUAUAUACAUAUACAUUUGUAUCCUGGGUCUACUUUCUGAUCGAGGCGGCAAAUCAACCCUGGUUUUUUCUACUGAGGUUGUUGUGUGCCUAUGGUAUGAUGAAAGCUGCAUUCAGAAAAUCUACCUUAUUAAUGAAUUUUGCAUUCAGAAAACCUAUCUCUGUGCAUUAUAUGAUGAAUGUUGUUCAGAGAAUGUAUCUUUGUCAUUCUGAUCUGCUGGAGCUUGUCAUUCCAACUCUGGAUAUUCUUGCAGUAUAUUUUUAUGGCUAUCUAUAUUCUCAUUGAAACAAUUAUACAGACAGAUUUGAGAAAGAGUUUUCUCUGAUACAGAUGUUUAUGUGCUUCGUAUAUUCAAACAUUGUUUUUCCAAGUGGGGACUAGAAUUAAAAGUUUCCUAAUUUGAGAACCUUUGGACCAGAUUCCUUUGAUAUACAUACAUAAAUGUGUAUCCUGUGUCUACUUUCUGAUCGAGGCAGCUAAUCAACCCGGCUCUUGUACUGAUGUUAGUUUUCUGCCUAUGAUAUGAUAAGAGCUGCAUUCAUAAAUUCUACUACUCCUUACAUUGUUAAUUUUGUGGUUCUGAAAAUCCAUCUAUGCACAUGAUAUGAUGAAUAUUGAGCUCAGAGAAUGCAAUCUUUCUCAUUCUCAUCUGCUGGAGCUUGUCAUUUCAACUCUGGAUAUUCUUUUUUUUUUUAGAAUAACAGGGAUGGCUCCCCGGCUCCAUUGCUAGAAAGAUGCCUGAAUGGUGAGGUACAGUACACAAGCAGUUCCUCCAGCUCACAACCAAGGUUCAAAAGUAAAAGCAGAAAAAAGAACAACUAGAAGAUGAAGAUGAUCCUGGAACACCCUCCAGCCAGAUAACAAAAAACAUAACUCAUCAAACUACCAGAUAACACAGCUUCAAGUGUGGACACUGGGCUAUUCUUGCAGCAUUUUUUAUGACUAUCCAUAUUCUCAUCGAAAGAAUUGUAAAAAGAUAACUCAGACAAUUGACUCUGAUUUACGUGUGUGAUUCAUCGCUUUAAAUAUCAUUUUGCUUGAAAUUUGUUUGUUUUUCAGGACUUCUCAAUCUCGAAAUAAAUUUUAUUAUAAACAAAAGGGUGAUAAGUUUUUCCGAUAGCGCAUGCAAAAGUGGACUGAAGGGAUUUUAGGAGUCAAAACACCGAAGAAGAUGAACACGGAGGACUAUCACUAAAGUAAAAUGCUGAAUAAACUUUUAGGGGAUGUUUCGCCUAACUGGCAAUUGCGACAUUCCCGGAUAUUUCUCGCCUAACAGUGCUCAUACAACUGUAUGUUACAAAAGAAUACAGGAACAAAACUGUUACAUCAUCACCAGGAGCACAACAUGUGGUCAUUGCUGUUAACAACACCGUAUAUAUAUGCCUUGCAGCUUUUACCACGACGACGAAACAAACGGUGAGGUGCAGCAGAAUGGUACAACAGCCACAUGGACUCCCAAGUAUGCAUCGAUUUCAGAAAUUGGGACCUGUGGACCACAAGGAAAUAGGAUAUUUAGUCAUUCAAGAGUUCAGAAGAAGCUGCAGGGAAAAAAUCAUUCUCUACAGCAAUAUAGUGUAGUGUAUCGGAAAAGCUCAACUAGGUGACGACAAUGUUAGCGAAUUGAGGUACAAAAGUAUUUUCUGGCUCCAAAAUAAGCCUCGUAUAGCACUAGUUCAUUUGGCAAAUCGGAUGAAAAGAUAUUACCUGCAACUAAAACUGCGAGUUGCUGAGGAAUGUGACCAUGCAUCGCGAGCUCUGAAACAUUUUGUCGAUCUUCUGCCAGACCUUGCUCUGGACGUCCAGGAGUUUCCUCGCUUUCUCCUGUAGCGUCGAGUGGCGCCGUAUUGUUUCACCAUGUAUCUGCUUCCAAGGAAGAUGAAAUACGCUUUAAGCACCGACUCGAUGGUUUUUAACAUGGCAUACACGUUGUCACAUACCUUCAGAAACAAUUUCAGAACAGCUUGAACAAACUCGAAGUUGUUCCUGCAGGAAAGCUCGUGAAUGAAGUAGUCCAGCAGCAACGAGAUGGACUGGAGCUCGGGUCUUGGUUCCUCCGACUCUUCCACCUCGUCAUCAUCUAUUAACUGUAGCAUCCGUAGUUCCAUGUCUAGAGAUGACGGAGAUAGGCCUUUUAGGUAGUCAGUGAACGCUGAAUCUGCAAAACAGAUUCCAGGCCAGUGCUUACUAUGACGAAGGUUGCAGCUUCUUCAUAUAGUCUCAUCAAUAGACAGUGAGAACCAAAAAAUCUGACGUUUAUUUACGCGUUUUGCUUGACUGAAGAUACUAAUAAAUACUUACAGCUCUCAAGUUCUCCACAGGAUUGUAACAGCCGACUGAAGUAGGAGGAGAGAUCAGCCAUCUUUUUAUGACCUAUGUCCUCAGUAGUGCUGCCGUCUGUUUCUUUACUGGAAGGAGGCUCAAACAAUAUCUCCCCAGAAAGGGAUGGAACUGUGGGCAAGAAAAAUGGAGCCUGCUCAGGUUUCUUAGGUGGCUCGAUCGGUUUGUUUCGAACCUAAAGACACAGAAAUGUGACAAUGAGCACUUCAAGUCCAAUCGGGCUUAUGCACAAAACAAAAAUAUUACUUAAGUAAGUUCUUCCUUCAGUCACAAAUAAGUGUCCAUUAGGACAUUUACAGUCAUUAAGUGAUAGCAUUGAUCCAGCACUUCCUACUGUAGUAUUAUAUUUGUCAAACUUCAUAAAUUUACAAUAUUACCAAGCAUUUUUUUUAAUAGAAACUUACUACCAUGCCCAAAAUGUUCAUCAAAAUAUUGUCACCCACAGUUAAAGUAGUUCAUCUACACAUUCUACUAUAUACACCCCACCUAAUUCUAACUCAAGGAGCUCGCAUAGUUAAUGCAAGGUCAGAGGAUUCGUUACUUUGCAGCGAAAAUUUUCAGUAUCAAAACGGAGACAAAAUGCAUUACCUUUAUAAUGUCAAGAUUUGUCAAGCUUUGCCAUUGACUCCUUGGGAGUAAUGAGAGUGUGAUCAUAUUUGGUAUUUGAUGAUCCAUUAUGACAAAAGGUUUAAUAUUAGAUUGAUUUGAAUCUUGUGAUUUUUUAAUGGGUUCUUCCUCCUCAGAUCUUUCGGCUGAUGAAACAGUUGGCAAAAGCACGUUCCGGACAUGUUUACCACUUGCAUAGCUAUCAACAUUUGUCGAAGGUGAGAACAAAGCUUGAUUAACCCUGUCAAAAUUAUUAAGAGAAGUAUGAGCUUUAUAUAAUAUUUUGCAGAACAACAAUAAACUACAUAUGUUUGUUAUCCAUAAUGGCAGAAGAUUAUGAAGUAGAAACAUAACAGGAGGUAAAAACACUAUCAGUCUUGAGUUGCCUCUGCUUGCAUUCAACUCUUUGCUUUUAGGGACAUUUAACUUCAUGGAAAGCAAAACUGUAAAUGUGUAUCCUUAAGUUGACCUUAUGAGGUGUUCUGGGAAAACUAUCCUCCGUGCAUGUGACCGACACAAGGGUCACAAUGAACAUGUCAGAAAAGUUUACAUUUUUCAGAAGCUGUUCCAUGUGGCAACCAGUCAGCAGCAACUUAUAAAUUAAACUAUAAAACUACUUAUAUUGUCAUACUCUUAAGCUCUAGCAUAGUUUUAAACGGAGUGGAAAUGAACAUUUCAAAAACAAAGAAAAGUGUUUGUACAGUGAUGAACUCGACUUCUUUUAGACGGUGCGGGUGGUUGGUUAAUUGCGUGCGAUGGUACGGAAUUUUAGUUAAUUAUGUUCAUUGGUACAGUGGACUGAAACUAGUAUUUAUUUGCCUAAAUGAGAUGUGCCGUGAUUAGCACAAACUGCACCAGCUUGGAAACUCGUCUUAUGAUAUUUUCCUGAAACAUGUAGAGCUGUCAAAGGUAUGCAAAUGCACAGGGUGAGGACAAGAAACAUUACCAAAGAUACACGCCAUUUUGGUCAACAUGGGUGGUUGCCAACACAUCCAUAUUAGGAGACAUGGAGACAGAUGUUAUAGAUACAUCAACACGCAUCGCAUCUAUCUGUCUUGCUAAACUGAUAUCCCAUAUUCUGAGCGUCCCAUCCAUACUAGAUGAGAUGAGCCAUUUCCCAUCCUCACUGAAACACAGAUCAGUGAUGCGGUCUGUAUGUCCUUCAAAUCUACGAACCAUUUUCAUUGACACUGUAUCAAACAAUACAAGCACCAUAUCAUCUGCUACCGUAGCAAGAAGACCUGCCAUAAAACAGCAACAAAAAAACUGUUAAACAUCCAUGGCAUCCUACAAGGGAACAACAGAACAUGUUGAAUAUUACCAUUUGCUCGGUGAUAUGCAAUCUUAGUUACAGAUUUACCAACAUUGAAUUUGGAUUUUAGCUUGCAACUUUUAAAAUCCCACACCUGCAGGAGACAAGUCAAGAGCUGAGUAAUGGAAUCGCGGUUUAAAUAAAUUGUAACUGAAGUGCAACAGCAUCAUCAAACCUUAAUAUCCCCACGGUAUCCAGCACUAAUCAGAGAACCAUUUGUAGCAUCACAUGCUAAUCCAACAACUUCCCCUUCAUGUGCACAUUGCAAUGACAGCGAGCCAUCAAUGUAACUACCACGACUAAUCCCAGAUUGAAGGUUAAAUUUUUCGAUCCAACCACCUUCGGUGCCCAAGAUAGUAAAAUUACCACAUGCACUUAUAGUACAAGCCUGCCAGAAAAGAAAAGGAAUUUCUUAAAGAAGUAGGGAAAUACUUCUAUCAUUUAUAGUACAAGCUUGUUCUGAUCUAGCCCACGGUAAGAAUUGAGAAUUCAAUACAUUCUUAUAGUAUAAGGUCAAUACAUUCAGAUUACAAAAACAAGCAUUACCUUAAUCGGUGACUCAGUCUCUGACGAUGGUGUAAGAAUAUGUUCGCCUAUAACAAAGUUCUGAAGACGCCAUACAUAUGCCUUUGAAGUAUCCAUGUGGCAUGUAACAACAUUACACCAAUCACGUGCACGUAUCUCAGCUGAACAACAGUUGAUUCCAUUGGUAAAUAAGCAGGUUUAUCUAAAGAAGAUAACAGUUUGUGGUUUCUUUUCAACACUAGUAAAGGUGCACAGAAUACUGGUACAGUGGUUUAUUAUGUGUUAACAUGGAAAUAAUUUUGCCCUUUGCACCAAGUAUAAAUAGUACAGAUUGAAGAUUAUCAUGGUUUACUACUUCCAGAAGAAAUUACACAGAUAGAAAAGCAGAAGAACAUGAUAUGAACUUUAGUAUUACAAGGACCUGAGAAUUACCACAAUCAAAUGCAAUAACUGGUUUUAGCUUUAUCUCUUCCUCCUGCAGAGAAGAAGAAAAUGUCAAAAUCCUAAUAAGGAAAUGAUGAAACAGAAGGCAAUAAAGGAAUAGUAAUAAAAAAAAUACCUUUACUCUAAGCUUUUUUGCUCUUUUUGCCACAUGCCGCUGAGAAAGCUCUCUGCUUUGUUGAUCCUGUCAAAAAAGUGUUACUUCAAUAGGAUUAAAAAAAACAGUAAACAUAAACUCAUUUUGCUCAAAAAGGAAAAAAACUGACAAGAAGACAGCAUGCAGGAAUUCAGGGUAAAGACUAGUGUGUGGUGUGAAAUGAACACUAUUACUUCAAUAGCAUUUUUGAGAGGACAAAAAAAUGCAGGAAAUGAUAACAGGUGUACCAGUGUGGCUGUAAAAAUUAAUGUUACAAAGGUUAUGAAUUACCUGAACAACUGAGAAAAGACGGAAGGCACGGUCUUGACCAGCGGAUAAGAUGAAUUUUCCGUUGCCAUAGAAUCUAACAACAAAAUAGGCUGACUCACUAAAACACAACCAAUACAAAAGUACAGACACAACAAACUUGGAGGGCAUUUGUUACCUUAUGCACCGAGGUGGAGCGCUAUGCCCACUUCGAAAUCGUAACAGACGAGCAUCUCCUUCAUUAUUAUCAAAUAUCCACAUCUGGAAUAGAGUAUAUUAGAUUACUAACUUUAAAAUGUAAACUGAAAUAAGGUGUUGCGGCUAACUUAAUCUGAUUGUCAAAGCAAAUAUCAUCUCACACCAGUAUUAACUUUGUUUUUCUUGGCUGAUUUUGUUACUUAUUAACUAGCUGCAAAGCUCUAUUCAGUAGGAUGAUACUUAUAUGCUCCCCCAAAAUAAGGCAAUGUGGUAUAACUAGAAAAAAGGGAGAUGAUGUUCUAUGUAACAGGCUACAUUGUUUUUAAGGCGGUAAGGCGUCCUAAGGCGAGCACCACCCGCCUUAGCGCCUAGGCGACGCCUAAGCGCCUAAGGCGGACACCUAAUCGCUUAAGGCGGGCAUAUUUGUAAGGCGCUGCCAGGGCGCCUUAUCACCUAAGCGUCGCCUAAGCGUCUAAGGCAGGACGCCUUAAAAACAAUGACAGGCUAAGCACUAGGUCACACAACAUGCAGCAACUUUUGACCUUUCAUAUGUUACAGCUCAAUAGCUAAUCAAAUACACAGUUCUUCUCCGUCAAUAUCAAUGAUGUGAAAAUAGAAGACAAGAAAACGGCACUUACUUUAAUUGAAUUAUCAGCUGCUGAGCUCAUCAAAAUAGGUUCAUUGGCAAAAAAAUGAAGUGAUACAAUAGAACCAUCAUGGGCCUCCCUAAUCACAGAGUGCAGCCUUCUCUUCUCAAGAUUCCAAAUGCUAAUAACACCCGAGGAACCUCCAGACGCUAGAAGGGGCUGCCCAUCUGGCGGACAAAGCAAAUUUGAGAAAAUAACACUUAAGCUUGACAUGUAGAAGCAUGAAAACGUGUAUUAUUAAAAUAAAACAAUGCACCUCCUGUUUCAAACAGGGAGUCAAAGCUAUCUAUAACCAUAAAAAACACCUUGAUGGCAGUACUGGUCAUAAAAUUCAGCUCCAUAUCCUUAAUUCCACAAUAAACUACAUAGGCUCUAGAAUUUAUUCAAGUACACCAAAUAUCACGUUAUUAAGUUUGAACUAGGACGGCAGUCAGUAAAGGUUUUAUUCGCAAGUCAAAUCUCCAAAAAAAUAAUAUUAAAAAAAUACAUAAAGCCAAAAAGAAUGUGUGCGCUACAUUCCUGAACUGGAUCUCCGAAUUAAUGAAUUUCCAUCAUAAAUACGAUAUAAUCAUAAUCACAAACCUAAGUUGAGGACUUGCAUAAACCAGGAUUUGUUUGGAAAUUUCAUCAUUGUCACAGGAUGAGCAAACAUGAAUUAUAAAAGGUUAUACUGUAUGUCAUGUCAGACAAAAUCACCUGUUCGAAAUGACAGGGCAGUUACGGCACCCCGAAUUUCAUGGUUGAAAGACAUCAACUCUUCAUCAUAUCGUAUAUUGUGAACAUGAAUUGAUCCAUCUGAGCAACCGACUGCAACCAUAUCCAGAGCAGGUGAAGAAACACAACAACGUACUGAUGAAUCCCAACCCUUAAAAUCGUAUACUUUUUUCUUUGUGCUGAUAUUCCACAGCUGCAAUGGUCCUUCUUCACUACCAAUAAUGACCUGAUGAAUCAAUGAUAAUCAGACUUGUCAACACACACAAAAUUCAGAAAGCAAACUAUCUCCAAAAAGAAAUCAAUAAUUUCAGGCACCUUAUUUAGGUAAGUAUCUGGAUGCAUAAUGCAGGUUGGAGUAAACUUGUCUCCCAGUGAUAUGUUUCCAACAGGCUCACUGCUUGGUUUAGCUCCUCUGAAGGCCCAGAUAAAUAUAUCACCUUUAGUAUCUGCACUGAGAAUGUAUUCUCCAAACAGGUACAACAUGUUCACCUUUUCUUCAUGUUUAGUAAAGGUAACCACCUGAUUUUUGAAGAGAAAACAUUAAAAAAAGCCUCGAUAUUCAAUAAUAGUUGAUGGACAUGAUAUAGUGGGGUCUGGGUCAAGAGCAGAUACUUUGCUCCUGGGUGCAUUUGGUCCCAGGGUUUCUUUUUCAAACAAGAAUUUGCAAAUUUGCAGAAGCACAAAAUAGUUAUAUAUGUAGAUCUUGGAAUGAUGAGUCCACUUGCAAAAACAUGCCUAUUUGUGUGCUGUAAAAACAAGGAAGAGGAGCUAAUAUAGAAACUGAAAGUGCCCACAAUUCAUCUUUUUUUGUAUAACCACACGGUCAAAUAUGUUGUUUCGCAGAACAUUACGAGUGCACCUAUAAUUCCACAAUCAACAUCUGAUUUCACAAAAGAUGUACAAGCACAUCUGAGACAAAGGCAUUUUCUGGUCAGGAACUCAUUUUUGGAAGUUUGGAAUAAGUAGCCAAUAAUCAUUUCAUUCACCGGGCACCACACACUUAGGGUUGAAACCCUAAUUCAGCUACAGCAAUUCCCUUACCAGAUCGGUCCGUUUGAAAACCGCGAUAUCACUUCCAUAUGCAGCAAAGGUGUAUUCCUUGAAGGAUGCGAGGGCGCGGAUCUUCUUGGGCAGUUGAGGUCCUGAAUUCGCAAAGAAAGUUCACGCACCAUGAGCGGAAGAAAAACAACAACCCUGAACAUAAGAAACCAAGCAUACUAAAUAGCAGGCUCACCGGCAAGGACCAAAGUGAGCUUGGCACACUGCACAACAAGAAGAGAAAACAGCGUGAUUAGUUAUAUCACAAAAUGGGAGUCGGCUGCAUCAGAGUUAUAUGUAAAGCCGUUGAAAAACAAGAGAAGACAGACAAGUACAGUAAGGCAGGGUUAAUAAUAUGAACACAAGCUCGACUGUAGGCGUGGCGAGCAACCAGCAGGAAAUCAGCACUGAACUGCGCAUGAGGUCCAAACGGAAGCUAACACAUCGCUGCCUCUGGUAGUAUUAUCAACCCUAAAUACGGACGGAGAAACGAGCAGCGGGCUCCUGCGAGCUCCCAGGCUAUGACACUAAUCCACUGCGGGUUUGCGGCAGGGACGGGCCCUGCGGAGGGGGAGAUGAGAGGGUGGGUUGGUGGUGGCGGAGGGGCUUGCUUACGUUGUAGACGUGGAAGGCCUUGCCGACGCUGACGGUGACGAAGGUCUCGGUGCCGAGGCGCUGCAGGGAGAAGGGCACGCCGCCCGUGGUGAUGUACCCGAUCGCGCGGAACGGCUCGAAGAUCCCCAUCCCUUCCCCGGCCGCGGCGGACGUCUGGGGCUUCUCCGGUCUGGUCUGGAGGGGAGAGACGGGUGGGUGCGCCGGCGGCGAGGGUUUUAGAGAGGGUUUGGGGCGGCGGCGCGAGGAGGAAGGGGGGGCGAAGGGUGAGGGAGGCCGCGGUAGGUCAGUCAGUUUCGGUGGUUUUGUUUGGGCCAUCUGGGUGGGUGGGUUGGGUCCAGCUUCCCUUCCCCGGUCCGGUCCGGUCCAUCAGGGUGUUUUGGGCCAGACCCGCCUGUAUACAAGCAUUGCAACAAGUUCUUCUGCUUAUUCCUCAAAAAAAAUCACUCAAAAAAAAAA